rnacentral:rRNA from 1 species
GAAGAACGCAGCUAAUUGCGCGUCAACAUGUGAACUGCAGGAUACAUGAACAUUGACAUUUCGAACGCAUAUUGCGGUCCUCGGAUACUGCUCCCGGACCACACCUGGCUGAGGGUCGU